rnacentral:lncRNA from 1 species
AAUCAACAAAAAAUAUUCAGAUUAUCAGAUCAAAGAUUCGAGUCACUUUAGACUCGUUACUUUUAGACCAAUCAUGUGACUCCAAAUGGCGUUCGUCGUGCGAGGAAAAGUCAGCGUGGUCAUGCUAUCAUAUAAUAUGGCUUUGAUUUGAUUCUGACCCCAAAAGGAACACCUUCAUGUGCAAGUGACGCUGCCUACAUAAAACACACUGACUGUUGGGCCGUUGAAUGGGGGAGGACAGUUUCCACGUGCUCUUCGCUUCAUGGUGGUUGUCAAGGUCCCUGUAGUGCUUGUCUGCAACUUUUCAAAGGGCAAUCCAAACCUUGAGUGUCCGCAGUGCUCUGCCAUAGAGGUCAGCGCUUGUUUCCCUGGAAUCACACAUAAAGGCUUUCUUUAUUUACACCAGUAAAGAGCUCUAACAGCCAAACGUUUGACCUCAGUUGAACAGCUCCGGGUAAACAAGUCAUCGCAAAUGUCCCCUCCCUCAGUUCCAAACAGCUUGCAUCCCAUCAGCGCGCAUGUUUUGCCAGGACAGAUGACAGGAAAACAGUCUCAGCUCAUGUUCAUAAUAAGGUAGGUGUAAGAGGACUUUGCCGUUGACUUUUCCUUGUGGUCCUUCUUAUACUUCAUGCGACGGUUUUGGAACCAGAUUUUAAUCUGCCGGUCGGUGAGCUUCAGCAGCUCAGCCAUUUCAAGUCUCCGGUUGCGGCACAGCCUCACUUGUGGAUUUCCAGAGGCCCAUGACUGAAGGUCGCAGCUCUAGUUUUUGAUCAGCGGAGGACCAGCGGAAAUUAUUAACAUGCUACUUCAUAAUAACAUAUCACAUAACAUUACAUAAAAAUCUGUUUUUCUGUAUUGUUUAAAUGUCGUAACAUAUGACAAUAAAUGGAAUUUUAAAAA